AUGAAGAGCAUUUUGCGGGGAAAGUGGUCUGACGUAAUCGGGCAGAUGAGAUUAGUAGCAAAAUCUUGAAAUAUAUUUUUAUGACGUGGCAGUUCUCUUAUUCUAGUGAUGCUCAGCUCUUAACAAAAAUAAAACCUUUUUCGUUCCGUCCCGUAAUGUCUCCCGUCUACCACAACCUGCGACGCAUUAUUCCAAGAAUCCCCAACACAACAUGGUCCUAGACCCGGAACAACCGAUUCCUCCGGCGCCGCCUCUUCAGCCUCCAAUUCAAGCCGAUACCCAUCCUCCUCAGCCACCACCGCCACCGUUCGAUCCUAGUCGGAUGAUUGGCAUUAUUAAAAGGAAGGCCUUGAUAAAAGAGUUAGCUGCUGUAUACCAUGCGGAGUGCCUUUCAUAUUGUCAAGAGCUUUUGGAACUUCAAAGAAAUUGGGAAGAGCCAUUUGUUGACUUGAAGAUUCCAGAGGAUUCAAAGAAAGAUACAAUUCGGCCUUCCAAACGUGUAAAAAAAUCCCGCUAGGCGUUGAGAUUAAUGGUACAAACAUUAAUCUUCAAUCAGAAAACGAAGGUAUCUCCGCAAUUUUUGGACUGUGUACCCUCUCUCAGUACCCUGUGUUUGUCAUUCAUUAUUUUUGCAUAACUAGCAGCCCGCUAGAUUUGUGUUCAGUGCUUCAGCUGCUGCACCAUUCAGGAAGUCACAUCUAUCUAUGUUUGAAGUUUCUGUUUACAGAUGCUCUGAUGCAACCAGUGUUGCAUGGAUUCCCUGCUUCAUUAUAUGAGUUACUUUUCCGAAUCUUGAUACUGAGAAGUCGGAAGAGACUGGGAUUAGAAAUGUAAAAUCUGUGGUUCAUUGAGAAUUUGUACGCUGGUGCACUGUAUUGUACAUAUCAUACUUGGUCAAUGGAAUACAAUUCCAAUAUGGUUUGAUAUUA